rnacentral:rRNA from 1 species
AGUGAACGCUGGCGGUAGGCCUAACACAUGCAAGUCGAACGGCAGCACAGUAAGAGCUUGCUCUUACGGGUGGCGAGUGGCGGACGGGUGAGGAAUACAUCGGAAUCUACUUUUUCGUGGGGGAUAACGUAGGGAAACUUACGCUAAUACCGCAUACGACCUACGGGUGAAAGCAGGGGAUCUUCGGACCUUGCGCGAUUGAAUGAGCCGAUGUCGGAUUAGCUAGUUGGCGGGGUAAAGGCCCACCAAGGCGACGAUCCGCAGCUGGUCUGAGAGGAUGAUCAGCCGCACUGGAACUGAGACACGGUCCAGACUACUACGAGAGGCAGCAGUGGGGAAUAUUGGGCAAUGGUCGCAAGCCUGAUCCAGCCAUACCGCGUGGGUGAAGAAGGCCUUCGGGUUGUAAAGCCCUUUUGUUGGGAAAGAAAAGCAGCAGGUUAAUACCCCGCUGUUCUGACGGUACCCAAAGAAUAAGCACCGGCUAACUUCGUG